rnacentral:rRNA from 1 species
UACGUAGGGUGCGAGCGUUGUCCGGAAUUAUUGGGCGUAAAGGGCUCGUAGGCGGUUUGUCGCGUCGGGAGUGAAAUCCACUGGCUUAACUGGUGGCUUGCUUUCGAUACGGGCAGACUGGAGGUAUGCAGGGGAGAACGGAAUUCCUGGUGUAGCGGUGAAAUUCGUAGAUAUCAAGCGGAACACCGGUGGCGAAAGGCGGCCUUCUGGGACGAUGACUGACGCUGAAGCGCGAAAGCGUGGGGAGCGAACAGG